GAAUGAGUUAGAAGAGGUAGCAGUGGUUGAACAUUAAAGAGGGCAUUGAAUAAUAAUGAGCUAAACAGAAAUAGUAAUGAAGCAGCUGGGAUAGGCCAUGAGCCAUAGCUUUGCCCUUAAGGAUAAUAAACUACCAAAAUAAAAAAGGCCAUUUUUGCAUUGAAUAGAUGAUCAGAUGAUCAAUAGCUCAGAUCGAAGUUGAACGAAAAUUGCAGCAAUGGCGGUAGCAGCAGCAGCAGCAGCAGCACCUCAAGAACAGAUGAUGUCCUACUAUGAUCAUGUCCAGAAGCGUAGGGAAGAUAAGGGCUGCCUCUAUGCUUUUUUAUUUACUUUGUGUUGCUGUUGUUGCUGCUACGAAACUUGUGAGUGUUGUGUGGAUGGCGUAUGUUGCUGCUGCUGAUCUUAAUGCAUAUACGUAUGACCCUUUCUAACGCAGCUUAGUUCAAAUCAAACAAAGUUCUUAAUUUGAAUUAGCCACGCAUCGGUAUGUUUUGUAAAAUUUGUUAGAUAUUUUUUGGUACAAUUACUUUCUAGAUAGAAGAUUGAACCUUCUAUUUGAAAAGGAAUAAUGAUAAGAACAUGAUUUUUUUUAAUCUAAUAAAUGUUUUCAAAAUGCUUAAACAAAUUA